GUGACUUGUGACUUGGGACUGUGUGGCUGUCCGGCGGGGCCUCUUCCGGUAUUAAUUUUUUCCUAUUCUUUCAUUGUACUUAUUUUUCUAGAAAUCACAUCAUUAUCGUUUUAAUAUUAGUGUCGGCUUAUAAAAACCAACCUUGAUGUCAAUUCUCCACCACUGCGGGUUUGCCACUAUCGAUUAAAUCCGGUAGUGAUGAGGGUUUUUGAACCAACAAUGAUCUCAAGAUCUAGGAUAGUGAAUAGCACAUAGGACUUAAAAAAGUAGGGAAAAAGAGAAGACAUAAUGCCCCUACUUUCUUAGUAUAGUUGGCCU
rnacentral:lncRNA from 1 species